rnacentral:rRNA from 1 species
CUAAGUUUGAUGGCGACCGGCGCACGGGUGAGUAACACGUAUCCAACCUGCCGGUGACUCGGGGAUAGCCUUUCGAAAGAAAGAUUAAUACCCGAUGGCAUAGUUCUUCCGCAUGGUGGAACUAUUAAAGAAUUUCGGUCAUCGAUGGGGAUGCGUUCCAUUAGGUUGUUGGCGGGGUAACGGCCCGCCAAGCCUUCGAUGGAUAGGGGUUCUGAGAGGAAGGUCCCCCACAUUGGAACUGAGACACGGUCCAAACUCCUACGGGAGGCAGCAUG